CAGGGCAAUUAAAGUGCUUUUUAAAUUUAGAAACAUUUUGAGCCCCCCUCUCUUGCCUCACAGUGGUUUGGUCCACUGCCUGCUUUCUCUCUCAUGCCCCUUUUCCACCAAAAAAGAACUGGUUCGGAACUGGUGCUGGUUCAAAGUUGGUUCAAAGUUGGUUCAACUUGCGAACCUUCUCAGAACCUGUUUGUUUUUCCACUGACUAGAGAGCCCAGCGAACGACGUCAUCACGUCACUGUGUACGUCGCCAUACGUCUUAGCCUUCCCAGAAAUGCUUGUGCCAACUUCAAGCAUAACAGUUACAAUGGCGGACUACAUCGUCUUUCUGCAAAUGUUUCUCCUGGCUUUGCGAUCCUAUAUUGGGGUCAGAAGAAAACGUUUAGAACACAUUUGUGCUGCUCGUCUGGAUUACUAUAGACGGAGGUUACGUUCGAGAAGAAGGGCAACGUUAGUAUUGCGGCACAUCGCAAGACAGAGACGGCCUGUUGUCUGGGCACACCCACGAUCUCAGCACUGGUGGGACACAAUUGUUCCGGAUUUCACCGCUCAACAGUUUUUGCAGAAUUUCCGAGUGUCCCGGGAGUCAUUUGAGUACAUCUGUGCUCGAGUCAGGCCUGACAUGGGGAGAAGGAACCCAAAUUACCGUAUGCGUGUCACAAUCCGAAAGUGAGUGGCAAUUGCCAUCUGGAAACUGGCCACCGGCAUCGAAUACAGGACCAUAAGCCAUCUUUUUGAGGUAGGCCUCAGCACUGUGUUUAACUGUGUUCAGGACUUUUGCUACGCAGUCAACAAGGUGCGGCUUCCUGUGCACAUUUCAUUUCCUGACGCUGACAAGUUUGUAGAACUAGCCACAUUCUUUCAGAAUCGUUGGAGAGUACCACAGUGUGUCGGAGCAAUAGAUGGAAGUCACAUCCCUGUAAUAGCACCAGAGGAGUACCCUAGAGACUAUUACAACUGGAAAGGAUGGCAUUCAAUUGUUCUCCAAGCAGUGGUUGAUGGGAUGUAUUUGUUGGCUAUCCAGGUAGUGUUCACGACGUAAGAGUACUGAGACGGUCACAUUUGUGGGAAGUCCUGAAUGACGGGGAGUUAUUAGGCCAAAACAAAAUGAACAUCUCUGGGUGUGAUGUUGGACAUUAUCUAAUUGGUGACCCAGCUUACCCUAUGCAGAACUGGCUCAUGAAGCCCUUUUCAGACACUGGCAGACUUACACAUGAACAACAGACCUACAAUUACCGGCUGAGCAGUGCACGGUCAGUUGUGGAGAUGUGUUUUGGGAGACUAAAAGGUUGAUGGAGGUGCCUCCUAAAAAGAAAUGACUGCAAGCUGGAGCUGAGCAAGCAAAUGACACUCGCCUGCUGUGUGCUUCACAACAUUUGUGAGGAACAUGGGGACAACUUUACAGAGGAGCAUCAAGACAGGCCUAUAAACGUUCAGCCUCCUAUCCAGGCGCUACCUGAACAUGGUAAUCAAGAAGGGGCUGACAUCAGAGCUGCGUUAAUUCAGUACUUUUGUAGAGGGAAUGACUGAUUUAUUUUUUUCUUACUGCACCACUGCCAUACAUUGUAAUUCUAGCUGAGUUGUAUUUUUGUUAAAUAAUUAAACUGCCAUAACACCAGAUGUAACAUUUUUAUGUUUAUUUGCUGAGUUAAUAGUUCCCUCUUUCUGGUUUCCUGAAAUGUGUUUAAUCUGCACAAAUGUAAAUAAAACAUUUUUUUUAAACCUUGA